GAAUGCGAUUAUGGUUGGUUUUGCAAAAGCUGAUUAGGGUUUGUGGUUGUGACCCCGUGUUUU
rnacentral:tRNA from 1 species